CAAUGCAGGAAACAUGGUAAUGUGCAAAGAAAUUGAAUUGGGUCUUUAGGCCUACCCUCUCUGAUGCCAUCUGGCUUUGAUUUGGGGACACGGUUCCGCAGAAAAAAA